AGUAAGGUCAGCUAAAUAAGCUUUUGGGCCCAUACCCCAAA
rnacentral:tRNA from 3 species